GUGCACAGUGAGCUUGUAGGCACGAAGAGCUGUGGGCAUGAGGACACGCUUGGCUGAUGACUAAUCCGCGGACCCUCAGCGUCUUCUUAUGAGAGGGAUAAUUGACGCUGAAAACUUUCUCAAACAUCCAGAUCUGCCAGAUUUUCUUUAAUCCUUUCAUAGAGGAAUCAAUGGAAACCUGUUUCGCGUUUUGUCGUUGCGCGUUUUGGCAGUCUUGGUAAUGCGAGGACAGGCGCAGUUUUCUACCCGUUUUUGAUCUUUUUGCAUAGUUUUCGACCAUUUUUGACUAACUCCAUGUCACAUAUCACGACAGGAGUAGAAUUUCCUACUGGAUUUAAACGUUUUUGAAUCGAAGUUUUUAAUCAACUUCUCUUUUACACGCCUGGAAACCGUGCACGGAGAUGGCGCAAAGGUAUGAUGAUCUCGGUCAUUACGGAGGUGCGAUGGAUGGAGUCGGAGUCCCUGCUUCGAUGUACGGAGACCCUCAUGCCCCGCGGCCCUUGCCCCAGGUCCACCACCUGAACCAGGGGCCUCCCCCGCACCCCACGCAGCACUAUGGAGCCCACGCACCGCACAACAUCCUGCCCAGCAGCAUGGGCAGCGCCGUGAACGACGCGCUGAAGAGAGACAAGGAUCAAAUUUACGGCCACCCUUUAUUUCCUCUAUUGGCUCUGGUGUUCGAGAAGUGUGAGCUGGCUACCUGCACGCCCAGAGAGCCUGGGGUGGCGGGAGGAGACGUGUGCUCCUCCGACUCCUUCAAUGAAGAUAUAGCCGUGUUUGCUAAACAGAUGCGUGCAGAAAAGCCCUUAUUUUCUUCCAACCCAGAGCUGGAUAACCUGAUGAUUCAAGCGAUCCAAGUUCUACGAUUUCAUCUGUUGGAGCUAGAGAAGGUUCAUGAGUUGUGUGAUAACUUCUGCCAUCGGUACAUCAGCUGCCUCAAAGGCAAAAUGCCCAUCGACCUGGUCAUAGAGGAACGAGACGUCUGCAAGUCGGACUAUGACGACCUCUCAGGAUCCUCCACCAACCUCGCAGAUCACAACCCAGCGUCCUGGAGAGACAUGGAUGACACCCAUUCCACUCCCUCCGUGGGCACCCCAGGACCGUCCAGUGGGGGACACGUCUCCCAGAGUGGUGACAACAUCAGCGAACUUGGGGAGGGCAUUGACAACAGUCUGGCAUCACCGGGUACAGGAGACGAAGAUGACCAGGAUAAGAAAAGACAGAAAAAACGAGGCAUCUUCCCCAAAGUGGCCACAAAUAUAAUGAGAGCAUGGUUAUUCCAGCACCUUACGCACCCAUACCCUUCAGAAGAACAAAAAAAGCAGCUAGCACAAGACACAGGUCUCACCAUUCUUCAAGUAAACAACUGGUUCAUCAAUGCAAGGAGAAGAAUAGUCCAGCCUAUGAUUGACCAGUCCAACAGAGCAGUGAGUCAGGGUACAGCUUAUAGUCCAGAUGGCCAGCCAAUGGCAGGCUUCGUUCUUGAUGGGCAACAGCACAUGGGUCUCCGACCUGGAGGGCCAAUGAAUGGUAUGGGUAUGAAUAUGGGGAUGGACGGACAGUGGCACUACAUGUAAAUUCACUCCACUGAGGUCUCCAGUGUUGGCUCAGGGAUCUACUUCCAUCUGGCUGUGCAGCUCAGCACCAGAACUGCCACUGCAAGCCACACCCACCUGACCGUACAACAACCUGACCACUCCCACCUCAUUCUGCCCAAGCCAGCAUGGCACACACCUGUAGAGGACCACCAUGGACAUGCCUAACCUCAGCGGUCGCCAGCAUACUUCCACUUAGCCUCCUUUAAAAAUCCAGACAAGAGUGGUCAGUGAAUGGGACAAUGGUUGGAGCAGCAGCUUUCCUUGAUGGAGCAGGAGACGGAAUUGCAGUUGUCUCGUUGUAUUCGAUUGAGACAGAAAUGAUGGACGAUAGGCUGCAAAAUUCAAGGAAAUCACGCCAAGUUGGAGGCGCAGCGGCUACCAGAUUUUAGUAAAUGCUGUUGUAUAUGCUGGGUUGUGUGUGCGUGUAUGUGACAGAAAGAGAAGCGUUUUGGGGGAAACAAGCGAGUAAACGGCGGGGGACUCACUUUAUUACUGAAAAAAAAUGAAUAAACCUCAUCCUUAAAAUUGAAGCACCCGUGAUUUAGAUUUUUAAGGUUUAUGCUCACCGGUUUCAUGGCUCCUUAUCAGUAUCACAAGAGAAAAUACAUAGAAUGGAAAAGCCACUUUAUUGUCAACCAGAACAUACACGAGUUGGUGCACAUUUUGACUGGAAUUUCGAUGCAACAAGCUCGACAUCCAUACAGACACUGCACAUUUCAGAUAAAUAGAUGGAUCCAACGGACCAGCUAGAGGUCAUUUAUCACUGUCAGCCUGCAACAGUCCUCUGCGGUUUGUAUGGACGAGAAAAAACAGUAGGCUGAUGGAGAAAUGGAGAAGGUCUAAAUGUAUCAUUAUAGAUAAAUAUUAAUUUGAAUCGAUAACCAUCGAUAGCAGUGAUCACACGAUUGUUGCUGUUGUUGUUGUUGUUGUGCCCAUGAUCAUAUUUUGUGGUAGGCUUCUCUGAGAGGUGGC